GCCUGAGUAGCUCAGUUGGUUGAGCAUCUGACUCAUGAUUUCUGCUCAAGUCAUGAUCCCAGAGUUGUGGGAUCAAGCCCCACAUCGGGCU
rnacentral:tRNA from 1 species